rnacentral:rRNA from 1 species
UACGUCCUUGCCGGCAGAGAAAGCCAAUGCGAUUUCCUGAGUAGCGGCGAGCGAAACGGAACAUAGCCCAAACCAAGAGGCUUGCCUCUUGGGGUUGUAGGACAUUCUAUACGGAGUUACAAAGGAACGAGGUAGACGAAGCGACCUGGAAAGGUCCGUCGUAGAGGGUAACAACCCCGUAGUCGAAACUUCGUUCUCUCUUGAAUGUAUCCUGAGUACGGCGGAACACGUGAAAUUCCGUCGGAAUCUGGGAGGACCAUCUCCCAAGGCUAAAUACUCCCUAGUGAUCGAUAGUGAACCAGUACCGUGAGGGAAAGGUGAAAAGCACCCCGGAAGGGGAGUGAAAGAGAUCCUGAAACCGUGUGCCUACAAAUAGUCAGAGCCCGUUAACGGGUGAUGGCGUGCCUUUUGUAGAAUGAACCGGCGAGUUACGAUCCCGUGCGAGGUUAAGCUGAAGAGGCGGAGCCGCAGCGAAAGCGAGUCUGAAUAGGGCGUUUAGUACGUGGUCGUAGACCCGAAACCAGGUGAUCUACCCAUGUCCAGGGUGAAGUUCAGGUAACACUGAAUGGAGGCCCGAACCCACGCACGUUGAAAAGUGCGGGGAUGAGGUGUGGGUAGCGGAGAAAUUCCAAUCGAACCUGGAGAUAGCUGGUUCUCCCCGAAAUAGCUUUAGGGCUAGCCUUAAGUGUAAGAGUCUUGGAGGUAGAGCACUGAUUGGACUAGGGGUCCUCAUCGGAUUACCGAAU